UGUCUAGGGGGAACUUAAAAC
rnacentral:piRNA from 1 species